UUAAGUGACGAUAGCCUAGGAGAUACACCUGUACCCAUGCCGAACACAGUAGUUAAGCCCUAGAACGCCGGAAGUAGUUGGGGGUUGCCCCCUGUGAGAUAUGGUAGUCGCUUAGC
rfam:Streptococcus intermedius B196, complete genome.